UGUUUCGGCUAGGGGGUCAUCCCGACUUACCAACCCGAUGCAAACUACGAAUACCGAAGAAUGUUAUCACGGGAGACACACGGCGGGUGCUAACGUCCGUCGUGAAGAGGGAAACAACCCAGACCGCCAGCUAAGGUCCCAAAGUCAUGGUUAAGUGGGAAACGAUGUGGGAAGGCACAGACAGCCAGGAUGUUGGCUUAGAAGCAGCCAUCAUUUAAAGAAAGCGUAAUAGCUCACUGGUCGAGUCGGCCUGCGCGGAAGAUGUAACGGGGCUAAACCAUGCACCGAAGCUGCGGCAGCGACACUAUGUGUUGUUGGGUAGGGGAGCGUUCUGUAAGCCUGCGAAGGUGUGCUGUGAGGCAUGCUGGAGGUAUCAGAAGUGCGAAUGCUGACAUAAGUAACGAUAAAGCGGGUGAAAAGCCCGCUCGCCGGAAGACCAAGGGUUCCUGUCCAACGUUAAUCGGGGCAGGGUGAGUCGACCCCUAAGGCGAGGCCGAAAGGCGUAGUCGAUGGGAAACAGGUUAAUAUUCCUGUACUUGGUGUUACUGCGAAGGGGGGACGGAGAAGGCUAUGUUAGCCGGGCGA
rnacentral:rRNA from 1 species